rnacentral:rRNA from 1 species
UACGUAGGGUGCGAGCGUUGUCCGGAAUUAUUGGGCGUAAAGAGCUCGUAGGCGGUGUGUCGCGUCGGCCGUGAAAACCAGGGGCUCAACUCUGGGCGUGCGGUCGAUACGGGCAUCACUUGAGUUCGGCAGGGGAGACUGGAAUUCCUGGUGUAGCGGUGAAAUGCGCAGAUAUCAGGAGGAACACCGGUGGCGAAGGCGGGUCUCUGGGCCGAUACUGACGCUGAGGAGCGAAAGCAUGGGUAGCGAACAGG